ensembl:lncRNA
AUGUGCUUUUUAUCUGAUUUCUGUUUUACAAACGCUCUGAUCUUUCGAUCUUUACCUCACAUUGACUUGCUCCUGCUCUGUCGUUCUUAUUCUUUUUUUGUCUCUCUCUCUCUAACCGCCUGUCUUUCAUUUAGUGCUGUCAGCAUACUGUCCAUACUUUUUCCUACCCCUGUUUUAGCCGGUAUUGGGUGUAGCUCUAUACGUAGCUCGCUUUCUCUUUCAGGACAGGUGGGGAGGUGUUACCAAGAUAAACGUACAUCUUUAGGGCCAUUUUAUCUGACCUGGUCACUUUUGUCCAAUAUUUUUGUUAAUUUGCUCUUCUGUUUGCGCCGAGAACACUCCGGUAUUGAUGGCAACGCUCUGCAUUUCUUUUCAUCCACAUCUCUUUCUCAUCUGUCCAUCCCCCUACCCCUCUCUCUCUCUCUCUUUUUCCUCUCAUCCUCAAAUUCUCAAACGCUGAAUCAGCUGCUUGGGAACGGACGCUCCCCCUGCCUCUUGGAUCCACACACAAGCUGCCUCUCCCCGGUUCGACUGUGUCCUUUUCCUGUCCUGAGCUUGGGAUUCUGGCACACACAGAAGUCUUGCCCAAAAAUGCUUUGCUAAAGCUGGUAAAAUGGAACCAAAUCAACUGUUUUAUGGAUUUGGUCCCCUUCAACCAGCUGUAGCUGUGCAUUGAUCACCCCGUAGAGCUGUGAUGAAGAAAGAGAGGUGUUCAAAAGCAUAACACACAAUAUUUGCUCUGUGUGAAGUUCACAGUGCAGGACCGGCUGUUAAAUGCAUGUUCCUUUAAGCACUAAUAUCAUGAUUAAACAUUUUUUUGUCCUCUUAAAGCCCAGGUGAGUAUUACAGUAUAUAUGCCAUGUAAUUUAUUAUUUAUGAGAUAUAAUUGUUGAUUAUGUAUUCAAGCCAGAUCACUAUCAUUGAAAAGAGGGCUCUGGGCUCUUUAUGGCCGCCCAUUGAUUUCUUGUCUCACCAUUGAAAGAGUGUGGGGUGGGGGGAUGAGCCAGGCUGGACGGAUGUAGGGAAUGAGGGAGUGGGUGCAUGUCAAGCUGUUGAAUAAGUAAAACAGUUGUUCCUUUUCUCUCUCUUUUCCUUCUACACUUGUCGUGAUUCUUAAUGCACAUGGCUGAUCAAUAAAAGCUCAUCCUGAAGUUCA